CCUACGGGUGGCAGCAGUGGGGAAUAUUGCACAAUGGGCGCAAGCCUGAUGCAGCCAUGCCGCGUGUGUGAAGAAGGCCUUCGGGUUGUAAAGCACUUUCAGCGGGGAGGAAGGCGGUGAGGUUAAUAACCUCAUCGAUUGACGUUACCCGCAGAAGAAGCACCGGCUAACUCCGUCCCAGCAGCCGCGGUAAUACGGAGGGUGCAAGCGUUAAUCGGAAUUACUGGGCGUAAAGCGCACGCAGGCGGUCUGUCAAGUCGGAUGUGAAAUCCCCGGGCUCAACCUGGGAACUGCAUUCGAAACUGGCAGGCUAGAGGCUUGUAGAGGGGGGUAGAAUUCCAGGUGUAGCGGUGAAAUGCGUAGAGAUCUGGAGGAAUACCGGUGGCGAAGGCGGCCCCCUGGACAAAGACUGACGCUCAGGUGCGAAAGCGUGGGGAGCAAACAGGAUUAGAUACCCGUGUAGUC
rnacentral:rRNA from 1 species